rnacentral:rRNA from 1 species
AACGAACGCUGGCGGCAGGCCUAACACAUGCAAGUCGAGCGGGACCUUCGGGUCUAGCGGCGGACGGGUUAGUAACACGUGGGAACGUACCUUUUGCUACGGAAUAGCCUCGGGAAACUGGGAGUAAUACCGUAUGUGCCCUUUGGGGGAAAGAUUUAUCGGCAAGAGAUCGGCCCGCGUCUGAUUAGAUAGUUGGUGGGGUAAGGGCCUACCAAGUCUACGAUCAGUAGCUGGCUUGAGAGGAUGAUCAGCAACACUGGGACUGGGACACGGCCCAGACACCUACGGGAGGCAGCAGGGGGGAAUCUUAGACAAUGGGCGCAAGCCUGAUCUAGCCAUGCCGCGUGAGUGAUGAAGGCCUUAGGGUCGUAAAGCUCUUUCGCUGGGGAAGAUAAUGACGGUACCCAGUAAAGAAACCCCGGCUAACUCCGUGCCAGCCGCCGCCGUAACAC